rnacentral:lncRNA from 1 species
CACUCUUUAUAAUGAAAUCCCAACCACCCUUCAAGCACCAUCAAUGAUCAUAGACCAUCAGCACCUUCUCUCUCCCCUUUUCCUCUUGAUUACAGACGUCUAAGUUCACAUGACUGUCAGAAGUCAAGGUCAAAGAUGUCACUCGAGUAGGCUUAGUAGAUUCACUUAGUGAAGUUUAAAGGUUUAAAAAGAAUGAUGUACGUAAUCC